UUGCAGUGUUUGUUGCAUAACAAAGAAACUCUCUUCUAGGUAGCUGAGAACUCCCAAGAUUCCUUCAGCUGUUUCUACUACCUUUGGACAUGGAAUUUCAACAUAAAAAAGGUUAUCAUGAGAGUGAGCCAAGGAGGAACAACUAGAGGAUGGAGUGGAGGAUCAGACAAAGCUUACCCAAGAAGUAAGAUAAAGGCUGAGAAGCUGAGGCUUGAGAAGACUUUAGGCAGGGUAAUAGUAAAAGAAGGAUCAUUCCUGGGACAAAGAACAUAAUGGUGCAAAGGUCUUUACCUAAGAAGCAUCAGUACAAGUACUAGGGACAGAGGGGGUAGAAGUGAGACAGAGAGUGGCUGGACAAAACAGGGUUCCAUCAAGCCAGGCCUCACUGG
rnacentral:lncRNA from 1 species